rnacentral:rRNA from 1 species
GGCAGAUCCAAUUCUCUGCCACCGAAUACAUUAGCAUGGGAUAAUGGAAUAGGACCCUGUCCUCCUAUUUUCAGUUGGUUUUGGCAGCGCGAGGACUAGGGUAAUGAUUAAUAGGGAUAGUUGGGGGCAUUAAUAUUUAAUUGUCAGAGGUGAAAUUCUUGGAUUUAUGAAAGAUUAACUUCUGCGAAAGCAUCUGCCAAGGAUGUUUUCAUUAAUCAAGAACGAAAGUUAGGGGAUCGAAGACGAUCAGAUACCGUCGUAGUCUUAACCAUAAACGAUGCCGACCAGCGAUUAGGAGACGUUGAAUACAAAACACCACCAUCGGUGCGGCUGUUCUUGGCGUCGGUUUCGGCCGGCGCGGGGAUGGCUUAGCCCGGUGGCACCGGUGAAUGACUCCCCUAGCAGCUUGUGAGA